UGGGGAAUAUUGGACAAUGGGCGCAAGCCUGAUCCAGCCAUGCCGCGUGAGUGAUGAAGGCCCUAGGGUUGUAAAGCUCUUUCACCGGUGAAGAUAAUGACGGUAACCGGAGAAGAAGCCCCGGCUAACUUCGUGCCAGCAGCCGCGGUAAUACGAAGGGGGCUAGCGUUGUUCGGAUUUACUGGGCGUAAAGCGCACGUAGGCGGACUUUUAAGUCAGGGGUGAAAUCCCGGGGCUCAACCCCGGUGCUGCCUUUGAUACUGGAAGUCUUGAGUAUGGUAGAGGUGAGUGGAAUUCCGAGUGUAGAGGUGAAAUUCGUAGAUAUUCGGGGGAACACCAGUGGCGAAGGCGGCUCACUGGACCAAUACUGACGCUGAGGUGCGAAAGCGGGGGGAGCAAACAGG
rnacentral:rRNA from 1 species